UCAGAUCCUUUUCCCCAUAUUUUGGGGACCUAGCGCAGCUUUCCCUUUCUUGUGGACUAAAAAGAACCAGAUCACAAGAGAAGGAGAAUUUCCCCUCUUUAGAAGAAUGAAAAACGACGGCUGUCUCAUCUUGAAGGAGACCGAGCAGAACCUCUAACUCCUCUCUUCUUCAGCAACAGACGAACUGAGUUUGUCACCUUCCAUCCCCAAUUUCCCAUAGAAGUGAGACCAUUUCCCUUCUACAACCAAAAUCGAGCAGCCCCAUUCCAAAAGAAAAGGGCAAUAGAGUUUGAAUGAGAUAGUUCUAUGGUUUCUCAAGUUAUUGGGCUAUCAAGGCUACUGUGUUAGGUUCAAGGAAUUUUCUGUGCGAUUUUCAUUUUUUUUUUUAAGUUGAAAACUGAGUUCAAAAUCGGCUGCUUCUGCUGGAAUUUGCUGAGCUCCUACCCGCUGGUGUCGUUGCCUUUAUUUGGCUCCCUUUGCUUUCCAGAUUUAAUCUUUGUACCAUUAGUAUCCAAGCGUAUUCUCAAAAUGUCUGAGAAUACACCCAGCAAGUUGAUUACUAGAGGUAUAGCCAAAAAUUUGGCAUUGGAGAAGAGAACAAAAUCUCGACAUGACAAUUUCAAACAAACCCAAGUCGAGAAAUCACUGAAGGAAACAAGACUUCCCAUUGCGAAAAAGAGGAAAAAACAUAUUUCUCCAGCUUUCUGUCAAGGGGAAGGAGGUUGAAGCAAGUAAAAGCUCGGAUACACUUGAAGAAAAGGGAAUUAAGCUGUUUGUGAAAAAACAGCCUAUAUUUGCACCGCAUAUCAGUGUAUAUACUAACACUGACAUAUUCUCUGAGCUAAAAAAAAAAAUCUUUCUCCAGAGCAGUACAACCAACUGGGUAAUACUUGUUUUGGAAAUUUCCUUCAAAUGAAGCGUUGUGAAGUCCAACAUCAACUCUUCAGAUGCUUCACGGCUCUCCAGUUAGAAGGAACU